rnacentral:lncRNA from 1 species
CUGAUGCUUCUGCAGAAAAGCCAAGCCAGGCCAUCAGGACCCUCCCUGAAGGGCGGUCUAGGGUGGCACGGCCAUAUGCGCCACCAUCCCGGUCUCCUCCCAGAGCCUCUCCAGCACCACCCUCGAUUAGGGCUUCUGGUUGGCAUCGUGACUUGGAAAGGAGGGACGCAGGCUGCCGGAGACCAUGCUCUGCUGCUCAUCUUCUCUCUGGGCUCCUGUCCCAGCUCCAGUGUCUCCUAUUUCGGCUCUGCAUCCUACCUUCCCACCCCCCUGGCAUGCCCCAGUCCCCUCGGACCCUGAGCCUAUGAAAUCCUGACUACAAAAAUGGAGGCAGCACCCAGGGUCAUUCCUGGAGCAUAAACGAUCCCUGCAGAACAUGGGCUAGAAGACCCCACAGUGGGGCAGAGGCAGGUCCUGGACUGGGAUCCCAGCAGUGAGAAGACCUGGACAUCAACCCUAUUUCAUUGUGCCUCUGCAAAUCUCCCAACUUUUGGAGCUGUAGCUGCAAGCUCAGACUUGUGGUUUCCUGUACCUGGAGGAGGCCCAGGUCAUUCUGUUAAGUCCCUUGUCUAUUUCCUGCUUUUAUCUGGAUGCUGAGUUAAUUAUUUGAUCCAACAAUAAAACUAACAAGGUUUUAUUUGUUUUUAAUGUCUUCUCUUUGCUGAACGCUGUGCUGGGUGCUGUAGCUGACAUGGUUUUUGUCUUAACAGCUCAUGAAUCAAAUCCCAGCUCCACCUUUUAUAGCUUUAGACAAGCAUUUAACCACCACUUGGGCCUGUUUCCUUACCUGCAAAGUGGGGAUAAUGACAGUUAAUAGCUACUUCAUUGUGACUUUGUGAGGAUUAAAUAAGAUACGGCAGAUAAACUACUUAAUAGGGUCUGGCACAUUGUAAGCCUCAAUAAAU